rnacentral:rRNA from 1 species
AUUGAACGCUGGCGGCAGGCCUAACACAUGCGAGUCGAGCGGAAGAAGGGAGCUUGCUUCUGGAUUCAGCGGCGGACGGGUGAGUAAUGCCUAGGAAUCUGCCUGGUAGUGGGGGAUAACGUCCGGAAACGGGCGCUAAUACCGCAUACGUCCUGAGGGAGAAAGUGGGGGAUCCUCGGACCUCACGCUAUCAGAUGAGCCUAGGUCGGAUUAGCUAGUUGGUGGGGUAACGGCCUACCAAGGCGACGAUCCGUAACUGGUCUGAGAGGAAGAUCAGUCACACUGGAGCUGAGACACGGUCCAGACUCCUACGGGAGGCAGCAGUGGGGAAGAUUGGACAAUGGGCGAAAGCCUGAUCCAGCCAUACCGCGUGUGUGAAGAAGGUCUUCGGAUUGUAAAGCACUUUAAGUUGGGAGGAAGGGCAGUAAGUUAAUACCUUGCUGUAUUGACGUUACCGACAGAAUAAGCACCGGCUAACUUCGUG